GGAAACAUUGCACUAGUCGAUUUUUUUUCAUCAAAACCUUAUCCUCUCGUCCCUAUCUCUCCCUUCAACCGUUCAUCUCUGCAACUCCGGUGACCGGCGCGUGGCGGCUCUGUUAGCGCCACCGCCGGUCCCUUUAGCUUUAUUUUCAUUGUCUUUAGUAGAUCUCGUGUUUAGAUUAUGUUAGGGUGGGUUUCUAGUUAGGCGGAGGGCUUUGGUUCGAGGAGCUUGUGUCGGGUCACGGUUUUCAUGGAGGUCGUGUGGCUAGUUGGUUGGGCCCGCCUCCGGUUCAUGGUGGUCCCUUAUCGAGUUGUGUCUCGGAUUCCUUCGUGCUUGUUUGGAUUGGUUAAUCGGAUGGUCUGGUAGCGUCAUGGUCUUGGCGGUGGUUUUGGAGUUGAUUGCUGGUGUUGGUCUUUCCGAUUGGUGUCUGUUGUAUCUUUAGCAACGGGUUUGUUUUGGCGGGGCCAAAUGUUCCGGCUUUAGUUUCUAUAACAGAUUUCUUGUUGGUUUGGCCUGGUCUUGUUCCUGUGCUCGGCGUUUCUUCUUAUCCGUAUCAAGGUCGCUAUGCUAGGAGUUGGUUCAAGUCUGGUUCGUGGUUCGUCUUUUGGAUGUGGUCUUGUUGCGGGAGCAUAUACUCUCUCUUCCUAGAAGCUGUGUGUUUCUAGUGGGGUUAUUAGCGUCGCAAUGGGUCCAUCCUUCAGUUCUUCUCUUGCAAGGAGGUGGCCAUUCUUCAGUCGGUAGAUGGCUGAGUUUGGGAUGCGAGGGUCCGCGUGUAAGAAUUGGAGGUCUUGGAAGGCGUUUUCCCGGUCAGAGUUCAAGGUUUUUAUCUUGUGCUUGAGCUUGUUUUCGGUUUUGGCUCCUCUUGGUAAUGGUCGUGGUGAAGUUUCUGCCUUUGCUCUGUGUUAUGUUGCAACUAUCUCGGCCGUUUAGAGUCUGGUGGGGUUCUUGGUGUUCACGCUUCGCUUUGUAGCAGUGUGGUUAUACUCGAGCUCUUGUCUUUCAGCUCUGUUGGCGAUAUGCAGAUGGUAUGAUUGAGUAUUAUGGAUUUGGAGACCCUCUAGUGAUUAGUCUCAAGUUGGUAUGAAUGUUGUUAUUUUGUUUCUCUAGAUAGUCUGGUUCCUAUAAAUCUCUUAGGUAUAGGUUCCCGUAAAUCAUUCGGGCUUUGUUUGCCUGAGUAUGGCAUUAUGUUUGUAAGUUUCGUUUCAGAACUCUGUUUAAUCAAAUUUCACUUGUGACGGAAAAGAAAAAAAAGAAACGGAAACAUUGGAAAGGGAAUAAUGAUAUAUUAAACGAACGACUAUACAAGCGAUUAUGUAAUCGUGGAAUGGGUUAGUUACUUGAUGGCAGUGUAGGCAAAUUGAAACUUGGGUACUGUCCUCUUAUACUGGAGCGAACCUAAUCUGGUUUUACUUUUGAACUAGGUGUUUUGCCCGUGAUACGGACUUUAUACUAAAAUAAAUCUUAAAAUAACUCAAUAUUCUAUUUUUUAAUUAUAUAAUUUAUGUCUUUUUAACUUCUUACUAGAAGAAUUUUUCAGAUAACAAUACAAUAUAUAUAUAUAUAUAUAAAUUAUCUUUUUUAAUUAUAUUUUUAUCUUUUGAAUAAUUCAAUAUUCUAUUUUAACUAUAUAAUUAAAAAUUUUAUUUGAUUAAUAUUUAGUUAUAUAAUUAUGUUUUUAACUUUUCACUAAAAAAACUUUUUCAGAUAACAAUACAAUAUAUAUAUAUAAAUUAUCUCUUUUUUUAAAAUAUAUUUUCAGACUUUGGAUAAUUCUUACUAUUAUUAAUUUUAAUCAAUUAUAUAAUCAAAUAAAUUAAAUUUUAUUUUUAUUUUUUAAUUUAUUUAUAUAUUUUAUUUAUUAAUGUUAUAAACAAUAUUAACCACUCUAACUUUUAACAUGAGAGGAUUCUAAAAACUUACUUCAUAAAAUAAUAGUAUAGAUCUGUUCCUGUUUUUUUUUAGUAAUGUAUGUUGUGGACUUUGUGGUCUAAAAGGCAAACCGUCACACGCUUUGGUUGGUUGCUCGGCCACUUGAUUGAUAUUAACAAGCUUUUUCAUUAAUUAUUUUAUUUUUAUUUUUUUUAAAUACGUGACAGAUUAGGAUAAGUAGUCAAAAAAUUGUCAAGAGGCUCUCUCUUUCCUCCGUUCUCUCUCCAAAAUCUUUCACGGAGGAGAUUAAGAGAGUACUCUGAUCUUUUUGUGUUUCUGAUCAGUUUGAUCAGAUGUUUGCCUCUGGGAAGCGGUGGUUCUCUUAACACCAUCUUCGCCGGCUUUUGACUCCGGGAAACUGUGAUCCUUUUCACUGUUUUCGCCGGCUCACCACCGGGGUUCUCCCGGUUCCGUUCGAUCAGCGUUCUAGUGGUUUUUUGUUCAAUCAAUUCUCGCUCUCAAUCUUCGAUUCUCGAUUCCUCUCCUUGUUAAAGGCGUUUCUCAUCUUCGAGCUUUUCCUCUAUCUAUAAAGAUGAUCGGUGUGCAUGUAGGAAUCUCGAUGAUUGGGUUAGAAUGAAAUCGAUUGAUUUGUUUGAAGCGCUUGAUCUGCCUAGCCUGACUCUUCGGCUGAUCUGGGUUGAGAGCCGUUCGUUUUGAACGGAUUCUCCUUCGCUUAGGUCUCGUUGACGGUGGAGCUCCGCCGUAUCGUCUUGCUGGCUCCGGAGGAAGCUGUAUCUCUCGCGACUUGACGCGUGGCCAUUGAUUGCUGGGCAAUCGACCACGUGGUGGAAGCAUGAAGAUCACUUCCCCAACGGUUUUCUUUUGGGCUUAUGGCCCAAAAGUUUUAUGUACGAUGGCCCUUUGUUUUAGGCCUUUUGUCUUUUUCUUGUUUCGGGCUUGUCCUAGUUUGGCCUUGUCCAUUAAUAAAUUACAGUGACAAAAAAAAAAAAAAAAGUAGUCAAAAAAUUCAAAGAUGGAGACAAGUGAAUUACGGGACGCCUUUUGUUUGUGUGUGUUUUCUACUAUUAAAAAUUUAAUCGUUGGUCUUGUGCCGGUUUAUCAUAACUCCAAUGGCUAACGCCAACGUUUCCUCUGUCCUGCAGCUUCUUUUUCUUCUGAUUAUCUUAUCUGGCAAUGCUGUUGAUUCUACCUCUAUCGUCAAGUAUCUUCCUGGCUUUGAAGGUCCUCUUCCUUUUGAGCUCGAAACCGGGUUUGUUUGCUGAAAAACUCUACCAUACUAAACCGGGUUUUGCUCUGAGUUUGAAGUUGAGUAUCUAUGACUUUCUCUUGAAAGGUAUGUUGGUGUUGGUGUUGGUGAGGAAGAGCAAGUGCAAUUGUUCUACUACUUCAUCAAAUCUGAGAGGAAUCCAGAAAAAGACCCUCUUCUCCUCUGGUUAAGUGGGGGACCUGGUUGCUCUUCAAUCUCCGGUCUUCUUUACGAGAAUGGUAAUUUGACUCACUUUAACUCACUGUUAUGUUGUGUCUCUGAAUCAAGAUUACAAAAAGAACAGGGCCUGUGACUGUGAAAUUUGAGGUUUACAAUGGAACUCUUCCUUCCUUGAUCGCUACUACAUAUUCAUGGACUAAGGUAUCACAAAGUGUUGUACAUUAUUCAAAUAUUAUGACAAAUAAAAACUCCCAAUUGUUUAUGCCUCAUUUGUUUUUUCAAGUUGUGCAUCAGAUAUCAAGUAUAAUAUAUUUGGAUCAGCCUGUUGGAACUGGCUUCUCCUACUCAAGAACUCAUCUUGCUAGCAAACCAAGUGAUUCAGGAGAAGUCAAGCUGGUCCACGAGUUUCUUCAAAAGGUUUUAAAAAAAAAAGAAGAUUUAAUUGGUCAUCUCUUGAAGCAUCUCUUAUUUGUGCGGAUACAUACAUUUACGAGCCCUUUUAUUUUGUGUGGUUGUUGUUGGUUGUGCAGUGGCUAAACAAGCAUCAAGAGUUUUUGUCCAACCCUUUUUAUGCAGGUGGAGAUUCUUAUUCCGGUAUGGUUCUUCCCGCACUCGUUCAAGAAAUCUCAAAAGGAAACUAUUUAUGCUGCAAACCUCCAAUAAACCUUCAGGGCUACGUGCUCGGAAACCCGGUAACCGAUAUUGAGUUUGAUCAUAACCAUCGCAUUCCGUUUACUCAUGGAAUGGCACUGAUCUCUGAUGAACUUUACGAGGUAUGAAACUACUGUUGUCUGAAAGUAGAUAGCAAAAGUAGCUGAAAACUCUUGUUUUGUGAGCAGUCGAUGAAGAGAAUCUGCAAAGGAGAGUAUGAAACUGUAGAUCCAAGUAACAAGGAAUGCUUGAAACUCGUUGAAGAAUAUCAUAAGUGCACUGAUAGAAUAAACUACUCACUUGUCACGACGCCAUUGUGCGAAGAUGACCCAUCUCCCGAUUGCUAUGUACGUGAUCCAUCUUACGUACACUCUGUUAACUGUUUGAUAAUGUUUUUACGAGUUUGCAUUUACAGGAUUAUAGGUACGUGUUAACUACCUACUGGGCCAAUGAUGAGAGUGUGCGCAGGGCUCUACACAUUAAUAAGGUAAUAGAUGAGUAUGACAAAAAGUUAAGAUUCACGAUAUUAUGGUGAUGACGAGGAACUAUGAUUGCAGGAGAGUAAAGGGAAAUGGGUACGUUGUGACUGGGAUAUGGCUUACACUAAUGACAUCAAAAGCAGUGUACCAUACCAUAUGAAUAACAGCAUCAAUGGCUAUCCUUCUCUCAUCUUCAGGUGAGCAGAGUUUUAGCCUCUUGCUAUAAAAUCAAAGGCUUUUUUUUCUUCUUAACUUAUGUUUUGUUGGGUGAACAGUGGUGAUCAUGACAUGUACGUGCCUUCCCUUGGAACUCAAGCUUGGAUUAGAUCGCUUAAUUAUUCUGUCACUGAUGACUGGAGACCUUGGAUGAUAGGCGAUCAAAUCGCCGGGUAUAUUACCUUCUUUUUGUUCAUUCUCUUGUUGUUAAUUUAUUUCUAUUGUUGUAUGAACUCAUUAGAUUUGCUCUAUUUUGGCAGAUACACUAGGACUUAUGCCAAUAAUAUGACAUUUGUGACUAUCAAAGCAAGUCUUUCUUUGUUUCCACUCAAACAUUUUGAUAGCUGUUUUUGUCACUUUAUGUUUAUUAACUGAACCGUGUGCUUGUAGGGAGGAGGGCACACUCCAGAGUAUAAACCAGAGGAGAGUUAUAUCAUGUUCCAAAGGUGGAUCAGUGGCCAACCUCUUUAGCAACAAGUCCAAGUUCAGGACGGGUCCUGGCCAUAUAACUUGGCUAUGGGCUAUUCUGAAACAUUGGUCAAGAACCCCCAAUUUUUUAAGAAUAAUCUACAUAAAGUAUAUAAAUCCCAAAUUAUUAUAGCAAAAUCUUAUCAAUGUUUUUAUUAAAUUGUUUAUAAUUUCCAAAUUCUCAGAACCCGUCCAACAACAUUAUUAUUUUAUCGAAGCAUCUGUAUAUGACUAUUUCGUCUUAUCGAUAAGAAACCUUUACUCUUCAAGUGAACUUUUAAUGUGCUAUAUUAUGUACUUUUAUUCUGCACUUUGAUGUAGCACUUAUAUUUGAAUCUUUUAGAAGAAGAACAUGUCCGAGUGUUUUGGUCGGAUGUCGAACCGAAAUCUUUUUUAUUUUUGUGGUAAGCCUAACGUUAGCAAGGGGAACUGUUUCAACCAUCAUUUUAAGGUUUUUUUCUUAGUUUAUGAUUCAGUUAGUGAAGAACCAAAGAUGUGUAUUGUGAUUAUUAACGAGAGUGCUAAGAUGUGGAACUAAGUAGAAUCAUACAACUUUCCCUGCACCUAAGUAGUAUCUUUAGGCCCUUCUGGUCCAAAACCUUCAGACAUGAACUCUGUUUGCAAGUACAAACUCAACAAUGAAAUCAUGUUUUUGAUGGUGAUGACAGAAGAGCACAAACAUAAAGUAGAUACUAAAGUAAGCCGGAUCUUGUACAGAAAACAGGAAGAUCAAAAUUACGCAAGUACCUAUUCUGAGAAUCCUCUCCUGCUAUGUUUGCUGUACGUUUCUCUUCCUCUAUUCUGUCCUUAGCAAAUCUUUUCCACUUGAUGUUAUCACAAUAUGUAUAUAUAUAUAGUUGGACGACAAAGAAUGAGACCAAGUGCAGACAUAAGCGAGUAUAUCCACUUUGACUGUUAAAGCCUUACUCUGCCUUUGUUCAAGAACGAGGUUGAUCACUCUUUUUCUUCAGAGGACAACGACACUGGCUGCUUCAUGGGAUAAACAAUGUAGGCUCCAGUUAAAAUACGUGUUGCCUUUCCUCGGCAAAAUAUCUGUGAUCCAACCCAAAAAUAGAGGAUCAGUAGUAGCAUAAGCAUUUAAUAGUGUAUCAAACUGGAUAGGUAGAGUAUAGCAGAUUAGCAACGAAUUCCACAUAUACAAACUAGAAAAAAGGUAUAAAUCAUAUCCAUAGAAAUGCAAAAAUGAAGAAAGACAUAAGCCGCCGAUGAUAGCAUCUUACCGACUGAGCGAGUAUUCUUAUCCAUCAGAUAUUAUCAAGUCAUUCCCACAAAGAAGAGGCCUUUUACUAAAUGAACUCUGACUUGUUUACCGUACAAACUCUUCUUGAACAUUCUCAGAAACUGCAAUUUUUUCAUUCCUUUGAAUCGUUCAUCCCUUUUCGAUGUCUCUGAUACUUUAAAAGAAAUGACAAACAUCCUCUCAUUACCCUGAAAAAAAAUAAAUUUUAAGGGAAAAAAUGAUACCCUGAAAUUUUUACAAAAUUUACCUGUUCAAAAAACGAUGCUAAAACAAAAAAAACUUACAGUUUGAUCAAUAAGAACGUCGCAACCCUUGCUAGUAUCCAUCAAGAAUUGACGCUUUGCAGGCUGGUUAAUGAAUGGUCUAAGAACUAUAUCUCUGCCUAAUUUUUGCAGCACAGGUUUCAUACGUAUGACUCUCUUUUCUGAUAUUCGUAUCAGAGACGUAUGCAACAAAAUAUUAAGACCACUUCCAACAUCCAACUCACUGUCUUCCAGCAACCGCAUCACAUUCUCAUAUGUCUUAUUAUUGAGAAAACAAGCAAUAUGACGAAACAGAACCUUCUCGUUCCAAUCUAACCUGUCGUACAGUGCUUUCCCAAUUUCCUGGUUUAGACUACUAGGCAUUGUUGCUCCCACCACAUCUAAAUACUCUUUUGGUGUAAUAUUUAGUGCAAAAGAAAUAUCGUCCGCCAUUUUUUGAAUUAUCUCUGCUUCAGAGUCCCUGAUUGGAAGAAAGAUGAUGGAGUAAAUACUUUAGAACUUAAAAUCCAAAGUAAUAGAUAAAACAGAUUACUUACCAGUCUGGGAAAUAAUAUCCCUUAUGUUGGUUUAAUACAGUCAAAGCUUCCACCCAUUUCUGUUGCUUGUGAUUGUCUACUGUAUACCCUUUCUUGGAGGCCUUUCCAAGGUCCAGGAUCUGAGUCCUGAUAUGAGCAGGUUCCACACCGUAAUAAACGGGUAUCACUUCUUGACCAAUCUCUUUGCCGCACUUUAUGAUCUCCACCAACCCAUCCAAGCACCAGCUCGAAGACACGUAGUUAUUUGAAAGCACAACUACAGCUAUUCUUGAUUCUCUUAUCCCAUGUUGCUCAUCGCCUGGCACAAGCAUAUCAUCAGUACAUGCAGUGACCUUUCUGAUACUGAACUCCUUGUACAAGUGACUGAUUAAAGUUUUGCGAACAUCCUUCCCAUAGAAGCUUAGGAAGACGUCAUUCUUCCAACUGCGAGAAGAAGACCCACUUGAUACUGGAAUGUUAAUCUUGUGUGCACAUUCUUGUGUAUAGUGACUCUGUUCAUCCAAAGAAUAAGAGUCUGAAAAGAAUAUCACCUCCAGUUUCGAAAUGUUUGGGGAUAUUCUUUUUAAACUUUUGCAACCUUUCAUCGAUACGUAACUGAGUCUAGAGAUGUCUUCUAUCCGCUCAGGAACUUCUUCAAUCUUGGUUUCAUCUAGAAAGAGAUGUGAAAUAUUCCUUGAGAUAUGAGGAAAACUUCUUAACUGUGAGCAUCCACUGAAGUUGAGGGAAUGGAGAGACUCCAAGUCAAUGUUGGCUGGAAGAUCCCGCAGUUUUGUGCAUCUUUUCAUGUCUAGCUUCCUCAGUUUCUUGAGACUACGAAUAGAGGAAGGAAUCGUCACCAGACUACAGCAAUCUUCAAGAUACAGUUCCUCAAGACUGGUAGCCUUUGAAAGAUCUGGGAAUACUUUCAGGUUUUUAGAUCUCCGCAAAUCCAUCGUCUUGAGGCUUUUAAGCACCUGAUCAUUACACAAGAGGGCAACCGGAAGUUAAAGAUAUGUAACACAUGUCAAAACUUCAUACAGUUCAAAUUUAAACUUGUUCAUAGUAAAUCUGAUUACUCUUUCAUUUGCCAAAAUUUAAUAUAUAUCCAAAAUUUAAUAAAACUUUACCUCAACUCCUUCCCACAAUUUGUGAAGUUGACUAUCCGGCAUUCUGAGCUCAACAAGAUUUUCUGCACGAAAGUUCAAAGGCAUGCUUGUCAUUGAGCAGCCCCACCAUUCCAGUAAUCUAAGUUGGCGCCAAAUAUGGUUUUUGCCUUCUUGUAAAUGCAUGGACCCCCACCAGUACCAUUUUCGUAAUCCAAGUUGGCGCCUCCUACGGUUUUUGCCUCCCCGUAAUUGCAAAAUGGUUUCUUUAUCCUCCUCUGAGACCCCGUAGAUUCUUAGAAACCGAAGGUUUUUCAUCCCACUGAAUGCGUCCUCGCUAAUAGAUAAUUCAUCCUCGAUUUCACGUAAGUUCAAAAAUAUGCCUAAAACACUUUUAGUUCCCUGAAAAGUAUUUAGAAACCAAAUCUAUUGGUAACUAACAUGCUUAGAAAAAAAAAAGGUAUCAAGUGAGGCCAAACAUAGAAACUUACAGUUCCAUCAACAAGUACAUCAUAGAUCUCCUUAGAAUCCAAUAAGAAUUCACGUUCUCCAGGGUCCUGAAUACAUGGUUGCCGAACGAUUUCUCUACCCAUUUUUUGCAGGAAAUCGUGCAUCCUUAUGAUCUUAUCCUCUGAUAUCUGAAUGAGGCACCGUUCAGCUAGAGUAACAAGUCCAACAUCCACAUCCAACUUACUAUCUUCAAGCAAUCCUUUCACGUAGUCACAUGGUUUAUGAUUAAAUAAGCAUGCUAUGUGACGGAAUAUAGCUUUAUCUUCUUCUUUUAGCCUGUCAUAGCUGUCUUUUAAUGUUUUAUCAACCUGUCCAGCCAUACGACUUACGAGCUUAGGCAUCCUCUCUUCCAACUCCUCCUUCCUCAACCCAGCGAGGGAUGAACCCAAAACGUUGAGAGCCAGUGGAAGAUUCCCGGUGAGCUCUACAGCAUCACUAGCAAGCUCCGUAAAACCAUCAGGUGGAGAGUCUUGUCCGAACGCACAUCGGCAGAACAUCUGGGAAGCUAGCUCUUUAGAUGGGUAAUCCACCUCAUAGAUACGAUCAGAUUCAAUUCCGCAGGCCCUAAGAAGCUCCCUGUCCUUCGAAAUCACUACAAUUCUACUUCUAGGACCAACCCAUCUAGUUUUCCCCAACACGGCAUCUAAGAGGACCUGGUCAUCCAUAUCAUCAAACACAACAAGAACUUUCUUCUGCCCUAACCUAUAUAUCAUCGUAUGUAAACUAUGUACCUUUAUGUCCUCCUGGUCCAAAAUUUCAGACAGAAACUGUGCUUGUAAGUCCAACUUGGUGUUGUAGUCGUAAGAGUUGGCCCUAGUAUAAAUCUCCUUAGUCUUGUCAAUAAAAAUGCUUCCUUGGAACUGACAGGAGAGUUGACUAAAGAGAGCUCGUCCUAUGCUAGUCUUACCAACACCAGAUGGACCCCAAAUCCCUACCAUUACCACCCUCUCUGACUCCAACUCCAACAACGAAUUCAUGUUUUUCAUGUGAGCUUCGAUUCCAACAAAGUCGUCAAAAUCAUUGCAUGCUGUUGAACACAGUUUGUUGGAAACAUCAUUGACGAUUUUCUCAAUCAUCUUUGCUUCGUCAGACCUAACACAAACCAAAAAUAGAUAGCAUUUAGAAGUAAAAUCACUCGAGCCACUAUAUUUUUUUUUCUAAAAUAGAAAUUGCUAUUUUGAGAUAUAUAUAUUUAGAGAAAUGAAUAGCAUUCAUGUAUAAUGUAUAAUAGAGACAUACUUUUAAAUUUACAAAAUGAUCUUUUAACUUUUUACUCUGACAAUUAUAACCAAUCUAUUGUUUACAUAAUAGUUGUUACAGGAAUAUUUAGUGUAAAUAAUUUCAUAAUUUUAUGAAAUGUUAAAAUAAAUUGGGUUAGUUUUCAACUUUCACAAAUAAAAGAUAUUAUUUGUAAAAUUAGAAAAGAAUAUAUCAAUAAUAUUUUUUUUUAGAAAAAGAAAUAGAAAAAUAUAUUGGACACAAAUUCAUCUCUAUUAUAGAGUUUUCUAUUUUAAAGAGAAACAAAAUAAGGAAAUACAUUGGAAAUGAUCAAAAAAUGAAUUCAAAAUUAAGAAUGAACCAGUUCCGAGAAUCCUCUCCGGCUAUGGUUGCUGCGUGAGUCAACGCUCGCCGCCACCGAAGCUUCUCUUCCUCCUUUCUGCCUUGGCAAGUCUUCUCGAAGAUCACUCCAAAGCGUUCAGUUUGUUUCUUGACAUGAGAAGGAUCCACGUCAUAGAAAAUUGGUAUCAAAAUUUGGCCAAGUUCUUCCCUGCACUUGAUGAUCUCCACCAACUCAUCCAAGCACCAGCUGGAACUUGCGUAGUUAUCAGAGAACGCGACAACAGAGAUCCUCGAUCCUCUAAUGGCGUUGAUCAGCUCAUGGCCAAUGGAUCUGCCUUUUACAAUCUCAUCGUCCUUGAAGGGAGUGAUUAGUUUGCGGUUGAGCUCCUUGAGAAAGUGGGAACGGAAUCUGACGCGCACGUCUUCCCCUCUGAAGCUGAGGAAAACAUCGUGUGGACAGUUGAUCUCUGAAGAAGAAGAAGCCAUGUGAAACUCAGAGAGAAGUAUGAAAGGCUUAAGAAGAAUACUUAAAGUCAAAAACAAGGAAGUGGUCAAUAUUUAAAGAGUCAUUGUUCUCUAAAGAGAACAAAUCCUAUAGGGACCACAAACAAAACUACUUACUUUCUCAGAUUCCAAACACAAUAAGAAGAAAGAUGAUGACUCCUUUAGACACUAGUCACUAAGAAGAAAAGAACAUCCAUGAAUUUUCAUGUAAUAUAAAAAUCCAAAUAAACUCACCAUACUCCGUAACUUUGGUUUUCUUGUCAUCUUCACUUGAGCUUGCGUCCUUGCGAUGGAGAUCGAGUGAGGAACUGAGAGCUCAAUGAACAAACACAAAUCCCAAUGAUGCCGUUUGUUAAUUGGUUUGUGGAAGAAAAGUCUCAGAAAGUCAUUGGGCCCAGGUUCAAGUUUUUUUUCAAAGCCCAAAUAUGAAAUAUUUAUCAUAUCCAAAUAUGACAAGUUUAAAUCCGGAGUUGUGUGUUCAAAAAAAAAAAAAAAAAAAUCCGGAGUUGAAUUUAUUUUCUAUUGGUUUUGUGAUUCAUAAAUUUUAAUUCAAAUUGUGUAUUAUUAAAUCAUAUGCAUAAUAACUUUUAUUUUAUAAUGGUUUUUGUUGAAUUUGAAGAGAAUUCAUUGAUAAAAAAACUACAUAGACUUGAAGCUGAAUGAAAGUUUCAUAUUAUUAAAUAGUAAAUUAAAUCUAUAUGUUAAAUUUUGAAAUCAAAUUAAAUUUACUGAUUUCCAAAUAAAAUUUGUUGACAAAAAAAACUAAAAUCAGUAAUUUUUCUUUGGAUUUGUAAAUUUAUAUAGAAUUUUUAAAUCAGUUAAAUAUAUAAAUGGAUAGGUUUUUACAGUGCUAGCUCUCUACUUCUUUCAGAAUUAGAAACUAAGCUAACUACUGUUUGAAGUUAGUCUAAUGUUUAUAUUGCAACACGCACUAUUUGGUAAAUAAAGUAGAAGCAGAGCUUUAAAUCAAUAAUUAUCUUAGAUGUUUGACAACUUGAUUCAUUGCUUUAUUUGCUUGGAAUUAAUUAAUUAACCGAUAAUGGAUGGAACAUGCUUAAAGAGAAAAUUGAUGUUGACCCAUGUUCAAUUUCUAGUGUUUUGUUUCAUUCACACACCACUUUCCUCGGAGGUCAGAUUUUAUUAGCUGAUUUAUCCUCUCCACCAACCCUACAGUCUCAACUUGCUUUAAUUUGCAAUCUAGUCUAAGUUCAUGAACUAUGGAGUGUGAACAAAUAUCAAUUUACAAUCUAGUCAAUGUUACAUGAACUAUGGAGAGUGAGCAAAUUUUAAUUUACAGUCUAGUCAAAUAAAGAUGUAAAAUUAUAACAUUAAUGAGAUCAACACAAAAUUAUUCUUUCUUUUUUUACCAAAAAAGCACAAAAUUAUUCUGCUGAAUACCUCCAUAGGUUUCAGAAAUGUUAAUUUUGCCCAAAAACAUACACUAAAACUCUUUCUCAAAAAAAACAUACACUAAAACUUUGUCUAAAAUCAUUUUCAUAUAAGGUUUGUUUGUUUUGAUUUAUUUUGUUUCACUUGUUUCCUUUCCUUAAACCAAUUCAGGUAUGCAUUCUCUUAUGUACUGCAUCUUAAUUCAUAUGAAAUACAUAAACAUUAUGAAAAAACAACUUCCGUGAAAUAAAAAGCUAAGAAGUAAAUAAAUAAAUAAAUAUAUAUAUAUAUGUAUAUAUAUAUAUAUAUAUUUAUUUAUUUAUUUAUUUAUGAGAUCAGCAGAAAAGCAAGAGAUGAAUACUAUUUAAUACUCCGUUAGGUUUCAGAAAUAUUAAUUUUGACCCAAAACCAACAUUAAAAAUAAUUAAUACUUAAACUUCUUCUAAACACUAAUAAUUUUUAUUUACUUGAUAGAAAGGUUUGCUUGUUUU
rnacentral:lncRNA from 1 species